CUCGUAGGCGGUUUGAUAAGUCGGGUGUGAAAUCUCCAGGCUCAACCCUGGAGAGGUCACUCGAGACUGUUAUGACUAGAGUCCGGUAGGGGACCACGGAAUUCCUGGUGUAGCGGUGAAAUGCGCAGAUAUCAGGAGGAACACCAGUGGCGAAGGCGGUGGUCUGGGCCGGAACUGACGCUGAGGAGCGAAAGCGUGGGUAGCAAACA
rnacentral:rRNA from 1 species